CCUACGGGAGGCAGCAGUGAGGAAUAUUGGUCAAUGGACGAGAGUCUGAACCAGCCAAGUAGCGUGAAGGAUGACUGCCCUAUGGGUUGUAAACUUCUUUUAUAUGGGAAUAAAACGUUCCACGUGUGGGAUUUUGUAUGUACCAUAUGAAUAAGGAUCGGCUAACUCCGUGCCAGCAGCCGCGGUAAUACGGAGGAUCCGAGCGUUAUCCGGAUUUAUUGGGUGUAAAGGGAGCGUAGGUGGAUUGUUAAGUCAGUUGUGAAAGUUUGCGGCUCAACCGUAAAAUUGCAGUUGAAACUGGCAGUCUUGAGUACAGUAGAGGUGAGUGGAAUUCGUGGUGUAGCGGUGAAAUGCUUAGAUAUCACGAAGAACUCCGAUUGCGAAGGCAGUUCACUGGACUGCCACUGACACUGAGGCUCGAAAGUGUGGGUAUCAAACAGGAUUAGAUACCCGAGUAGUC
rnacentral:rRNA from 1 species